UUCUGACUAGUCAUAGUGCAGGGUUCCUACAUGCAUAAGACUGGGUGUGGAUGGUCGACCUCCUCCAGGAGGAAUAACUAAAUGACGUAUACCUGAAGAAUAAGCAUCGGCUAACUCCGUGCCACCAGCCGCGGUAAGACGGGGGAUGCAAGUGUUAUCCGGAAUCACUGGGCGUAAAGCGUCUGUAGGUGGUUUAAUAAGUCAACUGUUAAAUCUUGAGGCUCAACCUCGAAAUCGCAGUCGAAACUAUUACACUAGAGUAUAGUAGGGGUAAAGGGAAUUUCCAGUGGACCGGUGAAAUGCGUAGAUAUUGGAAAGAACACCGAUGGCGAACGCACUUCACUGGGCUAUCACUAACACUGAGAGACCACAGCUAGGGUAGCAAAUGGGAUUAGAUACCCCAGUAGUCCUAGCCGUAAACAAUGGAUACUAGAUGUUGAACAGAUCGACCUGUGCAGUAUCACAGCUAACGCGUUAAGUAUCCCGCCUGGGAAGUAUGCUCGCAAGAGUGAAACUCAAA
rnacentral:rRNA from 1 species